UCCUGGCCCUGGCCCUGUCUUGGCCCUGUCCUGGCCCUGGCCCUGGCCCUGGCCUGACC
rnacentral:miRNA from 1 species